CUAUUUGAAAUAGGAUUUUGAAAGCAUGAAAGCUGGAUCCUUUUUUUAUUGUGACAAAGACUUGUUUUGAUUUGUCUUUCCUUUGUCUUGGGAAUCCUAUUAGUUUGUCUCCAUGCUUUUCAUAAAGCCCAUAAUUUAGAUGGGAACCAUGACUUUCCUUUGUACUCCACGUGAGUGGCUUUCCUGUUAUCAAAGAAAGAAGACCACAUCAUAUCCAUCCUUUUAUUUUCUUUUAUUGGAACUUGAUGACGCCUUGUCCUCUUGUUGCAGUUCCUAUUCUUCUAUUUAUCAUGGGGCUUUGAACCAUUUAACCCAAAUGUCCUUCCAAUCUGACAACAAGUUGUAUUAUUAUUUUCUUUAUGUAACUUAAGGCUUCUAAGUCCAAAUAGGACUCGGUUUCAACAAACUCUCUUCCUCUCCAUGUGAGAAAACUCCCACGUGAGGUGCAAAUUUCAUUAGUAUUCACGCCUCCUCGCAAGAUGUCUUUGGCGAUUCCUCAUUCUCUUAGCUCUAAAACCUGGUGGUUUUCCUCCAGAUGCAGGAAACUAUUCCGAUAUAUUUGGGAUCCCGUGGAUUUCGCUAUAUUUCAGACUUCUAUUUGGAUUGAGUAUCCGUGGAUUUCAGAGUGAGAAUGGGACACAAGAGUUCUCAUCUUCCUGCUGCCCUAUUCUUUUGCUUGUGUGCUUCCUCUGCAGAUCGAAAACUCAAAACAAAGAGGGGGAAGAAAUCGAGCAGGCAUCGCAGACUUGGUUGUUGGACUCUGCAUUGAAAACAAUUGUUGACCCAUGGCUCCAAAGGUGAGAUUCUGCAUUCAGAAUUUUCUUUCUCUUCUUUUGUCUUGUAGCAGUUGUAAGUUUUAUAUCAAUGCUUGGUCAAUAUUUUUUUGACCCAAUGUUUGAUCAAACUGAUAGUCACCCUUAGGUCCUUCGGUCCUUUAGCUAUAUAUUUAGAAGCUGGCAAAUCUUCUUUCUCUUCUUUUGUCUUGUAACAGCUGUAAAUCUUGUUUUAAUGCCUUUGGUCAAAGUUUUUGACACUGAAAAUCUGUUCCAUCUUCACGUGGCAAAGAAGGCUUUGAACCUUCUUUUGAUUUUUACAGGAACUUUUCUUCCUUUAAUCACUCAUUUUUGUCAACAUAUGCACCUUUUCCUUGUUCCCUUGUCUCUUUUAUCCAAUAUGAUAGCUAUGUGUAUGGCUUUUUAAAGAAACAAACUUUUCUUCCUCAUCUUCUUCACGUGAAUGAUUUUUGAGAUGUCUCUCCCCUUGGAUUUUGAAUUCUUCAUUUUCUUUGGACUCUUAUCCAAAUAGUUUUUUUUUUUAACAAAAGGCAUCCUCCAUGUUUUGUACCCGUGGGUAGCAAGAACAUA